rnacentral:rRNA from 1 species
GACGAACGCUGGCGGCGUGCUUAACACAUGCAAGUCGAACGGAAAGGCCCUGCUUUUGUGGGGUGCUCGAGUGGCGAACGGGUGAGUAACACGUGAGUAACCUGCCCUUGGCUUUGGGAUAACUUCAGGAAACUGGGGCUAAUGCCGGAUAGGAGCUCCUGCUGCAUGGUGGGGGUUGGAAAGUUUCGGCGGUUGGGGAUGGACUCGCGGCUUAUCAGCUUGUUGGUGGGGUAGUGGCUUACCAAGGCUUUGACGGGUAGCCGGCCUGAGAGGGUGACCGGCCACAUUGGGACUGAGAUACGGCCCAGACUCCUACGGGAGGCAGCAGUGGGGAAUAUUGCACAAUGGGCGGAAGCCUGAUGCAGCAACGCCGCGUGCGGGAUGACGGCCUUCGGGUUGUAAACCGCUUUCGCCUGUGACGAAGCGUGAGUGACGGUAAUGGGUAAAGAAGCACCGGCUAACUACGUG